CUCUCACUGGAAUCAGACACAUUCUCUGAACUAUUAGCUCUUUUUCAUGAACAAGGAACAAGAGAACAGCACUCAGCCCUUCAAGCCUAAUCCACCAUUCAGAUGCAGAAGUCACUGGCAAGACCAGCAUUUAUGGCCGAGGCCUAAUUACCCAGAGAACAAUUAAGGAUCAACCACAUUGCUGUGGGUCUGGAGUCACAGACCAGCUAAAGAACAUCAGCCUCAUGUGAAUGUGGUGCAAUGAGAACAAUCUGUCUCUUAACGUUGGCAAAACUAAAGAACUGAUCAUUGACUUCAGAAUGGAGGAGAACACCUCCCCGUCUACAUCAACGGAGCUGAGUCUGAGAGACUGAAGAGCAUCAAGAUCCUUGGAGUGACGAUAACCAACAACCUUACCCGGACUUCCCUCGUAAAUGUGAUAGUCAAGAAGGCACAACAAUGCCCCUUCUUCCUCAGGUGGCUCAGGAAAUUUGACAAGUCCGUAAGGUCUCUCACCAGCUUCUACAGAUGCAUUAUUGAAAGCAUAACUGUCCAGGUGCAUAACAGCCUGGUAUGGCAACUGCACUGCCCUGGACGGUCUGAAACUACAGAAGAUGGUGUGCACAGCCCAAGCCAUCACGGAAACCAAUCUUCCAUCCACAGAUUCCAUUUACACGUGUGCUGCCAUGGAAAGGCAACCAACAUCAUCAAACAUCUAUCGCACUCUGGUAAUGACCUCCUUAAACCUCUUUCAUCAGGCAGAAGACACAGGAACCUGAACACAUGCAGAAGCAGGUUCAGGAGCAGUUUUUUUCUCAGCCAUUAUUAGACUGAUGAAUGGACUCUCUAGCCUCAAAUAAGGCUGAUCUCGCUAAAGUUGAUCUCGCCCAAUGCAUGCACUCUGCAAUGUAACCUAUAUGCCUCUAAGUCUUUUUAAUUUGUACAUCCUUGCUUACUA